UACGAAGGGUGCGAGCGUUAUUCGGAAUCACUGGGCGUAAAGAGUGCGUAGACGGUCCAUUAAGUUUGUUGUUAAAGACUCUAGCCUAACUGGAGGGUUGCAAUGAAAACUGGUGAGCUGGAGGGUGAGAGAGAGAAGUGGAAUUCCCGGAGUAGCGGUAAAAUGCGUGGAUCUCGGGAGGAACACCAAUGGCGAAGGCAGCUUCUUGGCUCAUUCCUGACGUUGAGGCACGAAAGCGUGGGGAGCAAACAGG
rnacentral:rRNA from 1 species